CAGGAGGUAGUUUAAUUAGAAUGAUAGCUUUGGGAGUUUUUGAUGCGAGUUUAAGUCUUGUCUUUCUGA
rnacentral:tRNA from 1 species